rnacentral:rRNA from 1 species
CUACGGGAGGCAGCAGUAAGGAAUAUUGGUCAAUGGUCGCAAGACUGAACCAGCCAUGCCGCGUGCAGGAAGAAGGACCUAUGGUUUGUAAACUGCUUUUGUACAAGAGAAAACCCCCCUACGUGUAGGGGGCUGAUAGUAUUGUAAGAAUAAGCAUCGGCUAACUUCGUGCCAGCAGCCGCGGUAAGACGAAGGAUGCAAGCGUUAUCCGGAUUCAUUGGGUUUAAAGGGUGCGUAGGCGGACUUGUAAGUCAGUGGUGAAAUCUCUCAGCUUAACUGAGAAACUGCCAUUGAUACUGCAGGUCUUGAGUACAGAUGCCGUUGGCGGAAUAUGACAUGUAGCGGUGAAAUGCAUAGAUAUGUCAUAGAACACCGAUUGCGAAGGCAGCUGACGAAACUGUAACUGACGCUGAGGCACGAAAGUGCGGGGAUCAAACAGGAUUAGAAACCCCGGUAGUCC